CAUUUUCCAAAUCUCUGCGCGAUUUUCUUUAAAUCGAGCGGAGAUAGGAAGAAAAAACAUAUCUUCUUCCACAUCUAGGAAAAAAAUUUUAAAUUUAUAUUAUAUUGGUAUUUCUUAAUAUAUACAUCUUCGUAGCGGCAAGAAAACACUUGGAACUUUUAACUUCCGUCUGCGAAUCCGAUGCCAAGGAUCGUUCAAAUUCUCUCAGAGCACGCCAGCCAGAUGCGUUAAAUAUCGAGAUGUUUACAAUAAGAAUGUCACGGCCGCGUUUGUCUCGAACGAAGCUGAAUUUCGCCAUUUUCCCACGCGACCGAUCUCCUCUUUUUCUCUCUUUUUCUAUUACGGAACAGCGCGACAGAAAUAGUCGGAGAACUAAUAUUGGUUUUUAGAUCAGGCGAUUGUUAAUUGCAACUUAGCACCAUGUAAUUUCUGCCUGCUUUCUAAAGCACGCGCUAAAAAUGGUGCGCGCAAAAACGCGGAGCGUGAAGUCGUCCUGGGACGCGAAGCCGCGAAGUCGGCGAUAAGUAGAGUGGACAAGAAAGCAGCCUGCGAAAUCGCGUGCGGAUAUCCUAAUUACUAUAAAUAAUGCGACAGGAUUAUUUAGACCAUUCACCGGCGGUAAUUUCAAGUGAAAAUCCUUUUUAUAAAACAACGCAGCGCGGAUUCGUCACAGAUUUGUCGAAGAUCCACGCUGCGGGUCCGUUUCGUAACUCUGUGCGCGUUGCGAAGAUAAUAUCCUGAUGACAACUUGAUAUGAUAAACUGGGAUCUUUAAUCCCCUCACUUUUCAUCAAGGACGUCGCUUGGCGUGAUGUCUUCACUAUCUUCAGAUCUUCUUCAGCGAGGCGAGGCGCGAUUCGCCGCCGCUUUCCGUUGUUUCAUGGGUGGAAUGGCAUGGCGGGCUCGCCUGCGGUCGCGCUUCUGCAGAAAUCAAGAAGAGGUUUCGAUCCAGCCUGAAAACCAUCCCGCACGUCGUCCCGCGUUUCUCGCCUCACGCAUCUUACCUCGUUACGUCGGGAGGGAGGGAGCAGAAGGAGAAAGACAAGAAAGGCGGUAUAAUGCGGCGGGAAUAAUUUCGUUACGUGUCCUACAAGGCGAGGCGAUCUCGUCGGAUGCCGCCGCUUCUAAAACCGGAAGCGUCAGCGAUCUGUAACCAGCGGCGGAGCGCGUUCGCGCGAGAAUCCGACGGUCUCGUCUGUCUUUCUCUUUCUCUCGUCUCGUUUUUCUCCUCUUUUUUUUUCUCCUCGCCACGCUGAAAGUGUGACUCGACGAGACUUGUGUACGACAGGAGUGACGGACACCUCCGGAGGAAGCCGGCAGCGCGAGUCUGGAUCCGCGCGUGUCCGACCUGCCUCGCGAAACGAGCGAAAGUCCUCUCUUCCUUCCUCGCAUCGGCGCCCCGACGCUGGUGUUCGGCUCGUUCGCAGAACGAAUACCCAGCUGCGUUCCUCACGCACUUUCGCACCGCGCGAACAACACGCGCCGCAGGCAUGUCUAAUGACGU